rnacentral:rRNA from 1 species
GAUGAACGCUGGCGGCGUGCUUAACACAUGCAAGUCGAACGGACGGAUUGGAGCUUGCUCCAUGAAGUUAGUGGCGGACGGGUGAGUAACGCGUGGGUAACCUGCCCUAUGCAGGGGGAUAACGUUUGGAAACGAACGCUAAUACCGCAUAAUCUAGUUGGUUCGCAUGAACUGAUUAGCAAAGAUUUUAUCGGCAUAGGAUGGACCCGCGUUAGAUUAGCUAGUUGGUGAGAUAACAGCCCACCAAGGCGACGAUCUAUAGCCGGCCUGAGAGGGUGAACGGCCACACUGGGACUGAGACACGGCCCAGACUCCUACGGGAGGCAGCAGUGGGGAAUAUUGCACAAUGGGCGCAAGCCUGCUGCAGCGACGCCGCGUGAAGGAUGAAGGUCUUCGGAUCGUAAACUUCUAUCAGCAGGGAAGAACAAGUACAAGAGUAACUGCUUGUACCUUGACGGUACCUAACCAGAAAGCCACGGCUAACUAC